AACGAACGCUGGCGGCAUGCCUAACACAUGCAAGUCGAACGAGACCUUCGGGUCUAGUGGCGCACGGGUGCGUAACGCGUGGGAACCUGCCCUUAGGUUCGGAAUAACUCCCCGAAAGGGGUGCUAAUACCGGAUAAUGUCUUCGGACCAAAGAUUUAUCGCCUUUGGAUGGGCCCGCGUUGGAUUAGCUAGUUGGUAGGGUAAAAGCCUACCAAGGCGACGAUCCAUAGCUGGUCUGAGAGGAUGAUCAGCCACACUGGGACUGAGACACGGCCCAGACUCCUACGGGAGGCAGCAGUGGGGAAUAGUGGACAAGGGGCGAAAGACUGAUCCAGCAAUGCCGCGUGAGUGAUGAAGGCCUUAGGGUUGUAAAGCUCUUUUACCCGGGAUGAUAAUGACAGUACCGGGAGAAUAAGCUCCGGCUAACUCCGUG
rnacentral:rRNA from 1 species